CUUCCCUGUGAUUUAGAUGUAUAUAGUUUCUUGGGGGGGGCAUUUUAUAGGGUUUUAAAGGGAAAAAAUGAAUUGACAAAUUGAUUCAUCUAUUCGCCAGGAAAAAAAAUAUAAAUUUGUUAUUUGUGAUUCGUCAACCUUGAUGAAUCACAAAUCAAAACAAAUCACAGUUUUCUGAUUGGUGCCCAUCACUAGUAAAUACUUUAUUUCAUAGAGUAGUUAAUUAGGGACUUGAUGUGACAGUCAUGAAAAAGGAAAGGAUGGAAUCUAACAACCACCGAGAAUAGGAGUCCUAGCACGACUGUGGGCCUCUGCCAGCCUCCAGCGCCUCCUUCCCCCUUCCAAACCUUUCAUCUUUUGCAAGCGGAUAAAAAAGUAUUUUGCCCUGAUGUUUGUCCUGCUCGUGGCAAGGUGUAGGUUAUCUUCCUAUAUUUGCACUAAGCUAAAGGGAGAGGGGGAGGAAGGGAAUAAACACAUAAAUCCUUCCCUGUCUUUAUAAGGGGAAAGCAAAGCAGGAGAGAAUCAGAACGUUAUUUCUGCCAGAAGUACAGAACAGCAGUUCCACCUUCUCGGUGUCAUACCUACAAACUUCUGAUUCUCGCUGCUUCCUCUUGUGACCUUUGGCAUCAAGAUGCAGACUAUCUUGGGAUCCUUCCUGUUCCUCGUGCUUCUAAGAACAGGCACUUCUCUGGAAUGUGAAGUUUGUAAUGGCAUGGGCAACAGCUGUACUGGCCCCAUGAUGACCUGUGAACCCGGUCAAGACACCUGUGCCAUCAUAUUGACUGAAAACUCCUUAGGUUGGUACAGGGCUGGUCCCAGACAUCUUCCUGCCUGAGAUAAGAUGGUGUACUCUCCCUAGUCUACACAGAGAAGUUGAGCGUAUUAGCAUUUUAAGUGUUGCUGCAGUGGGAUGGCAUCCUCUAUCUACCGGAUGUCUCAAGAUGGUUCAGGAGACCACAAGGUUGUGUGGCGUGCCCAGUUCUGUCCUUCAACAGAGAGGAACAGCUUGGAAGUUCAUGAGGAGCAUCUGUUGCCUGAAAUGGCUCCCUUCCUUGACUAAUAAUAGGGCCAAUCAUGGUUUGGUAAGUGGUACCGUGGGUUAGAGAUCAUUGUGUGUUAUAUGACCAAUUAUCUUCAAUGAGCUAAAUUAAGUACAGAGUCAAAAAUGUGGAGUUAACUUGUAAUAAUUUUAGAAAAGGUUUAUUAAUACAUACACCUGGGAGGCAGGAAAGUUUUAAGGGUCAGAUCAUACUUCUGCACUAUUAAAGAGCAGGCCAGGUAGGUGGGGCUCGUCAGCCUUGGAAGGCAGCCCAUCUAGGAGAAAGAAAACUCCAACUUCAAACCUCCACUGCCUUGUGGCUAUAUCCGCUGAUGGAAAAGGCUUCAGGAGUUAACCUCGAGGCAAAAUCUGGAGCUGGAGUCCUGGAGGCAGUUGGUGCCAUUCUACCAACUCCUGCGACGUUGCUGGAACCGGUUGUAUUGGCUCUUGCCUUUCCAUUGGACCAUUUCAGCAAUGUGGAGAGGGGGGAUCUGCUGCUUCGGUAACAGCCUAUCCUCCAUAUUACUUUACCCAGGCUUCGUGCUCUGGAGAGGACACUCCUCGAUUCAGAGCAUGUUACCAUAGUCUCUCGAAACUGAAGGAUGCCUAUGUAUGCAUUAAUACAGAAUUUAGUAUUUCAGUAGCAAAGGCCAAAAUAUAGCCUUUGAGUGAAAAAGAAAGAAGGCAUUUGUCUUAGAUAUUCCAGGUAAGUUUAUUUAGCUUUGAAGAAUGUUUCCAAAGUGGGUAAACCACCCCCUAAGGCUGGAUGGCAUGGAUGCGUGGAUGGAGAGAGAGC
rnacentral:lncRNA from 1 species